rnacentral:lncRNA from 1 species
UGCAAAGCUCUCCAUUGUCAGAUUACGCUGCCCGAUGGGCAUGAAAAGUCCACAAAAGAGAAUUUUCUGAUGUGAGAAUGGAGGGUGUUGCCUGCAACUACCCCAGAUCCCUGCGGUGGCAGUUUAAGCCGCCUCCUGGAACAGAUUGUUAAGCUGAUGCGAGUCUGGGCUCUGCCUCACCACUUGUCUCAGAGACAGAGUCUUGCUCUGUCACCUAGGCUGGAGUGCAGUGGUGCCAUCACAGCUCACUGCAGCCUUGACCUCCCCGUGCUCAAGUGAUCCUCACACCUCAGCCUCCCGAGUAGCCGGGAUCACAAGUUAAACAAACACAGUUCUUUACAUCAAUGCUUCCGUCCCUGGCCAUCUGGUCUCCUGUCCCCUCCAGAACCAAAACCAUGGGCUGUGCUGCAGCAAAAUGAGGAUGUACUCAGUGCACUGAGGCCCAUGUACCAUGAGAGAUGGCGAGAGAAAGCCUUGGCCAGAGAGGUUAAGGAUUUGGGGCUGGACACAGUGGCUUGUGCCUGUAAUCCUAGCACUUUGGGAGGCCAAGGCAGGAGGAUCACUUGAGGCCAAGAGUUUGAGACCAGCUUGAGCA